AGUUUCUUGCUUUAGGAAGCGGAAGACUAAUGACCGAAGCUUCAAGACUUUGACAUGUGUGAAAACAUGAAAUGACCCUUGGCUCUUAUUGUUCUUGCUGGUGUGGUAUGUUCACGGCUGAAAAGAUGGUCAGAAGGGGAAAGGAGGAAGUGAGAAGAAAGAAACAGGGAAAUGACAGAGUGUUGCUCAGUUACCCAGGCUGGAGUGCAAUGGCAUGAUCUUGGCUCACUGCAGCCUCCACCUCCUGGGUUCAAGCGGUUCUCGUGCCUCAGUCUCCCAAGUAGCUGGGAUUACAGGAACUGACUCAGCGCAAGAAGACAGCUUCGACUCCUUGUGAUUUCAUCCCUAACCAAUCAGCACUCCUGGCUCACUGGCUUCCCCCAACCCACCAAAUUGUCCUUAAAAACUCUGCUCUCCAAACGCUGGGGGAGACUGAUUUGAGUAAUAAUAAAACCCUGGUCUCCUGCA
rnacentral:lncRNA from 1 species